GCUAGUAAUGGCAGGUCAGCAUACUGCCGUGAAUACGUUCCCGGGCCUUGUACACACCGCCCGUCACACCAUGAGAGUUGGGAAUACCCGAAGCCUGUGAGCUAACAUUAAGAGGCAGCAGUCGAAGGUAGAAUCAAUGAUUGGGGUGAAGUCGUAACAAGGUAGC
rnacentral:rRNA from 1 species